rnacentral:rRNA from 1 species
AUUGAACGCUGGCGGCAGGCCUAACACAUGCAAGUCGAGCGGAUGAGUGGAGCUUGCUCCAUGAUUCAGCGGCGGACGGGUGAGUAAUGCCUAGGAAUCUGCCUGGUAGUGGGGGACAACGUUUCGAAAGGAACGCUAAUACCGCAUACGUCCUACGGGAGAAAAUGGGGGAUCUUCGGACCUCACGCUAUCAGAUGAGCCUAGGUCGGAUUAGCUAGUUGGUGAGGUGAAGGCUCACCAAGGCGACGAUCAGUAACUGGUCUGAGAGGAUGAUCAGUCUCACUGGAACUGAGACACGGUCCAGACUCCUACGGGAGGCAGCAGUGGGGAAUAUUGGACAAUGGGCGAAAGCCUGAUCCAGCCAUGCCGCGUGUGUGAAGAAGGUCUUCGGAUUGUAAAGCACUUUAAGUUGGGAGGAAGGGCAGUAAGUUAAUACCUUGCUGUUUUGACGUUACCAACAGAAUAAGCACCGGCUAACUUCGUG